UACGAAGGGGGCUAGCGUUGCUCGGAAUCACUGGGCGUAAAGCGCACGUAGGCGGACUGUCAAGUCAGGGGUGAAAUCCCGGGGCUCAACCUCGGAACUGCCUUUGAUACUGUCAGUCUAGAGUCCGGAAGAGGUGGGUGGAAUUCCUAGUGUAGAGGUGAAAUUCGCAGAUAUUAGGAAGAACACCGGUGGCGAAGGCGGCCCACUGGUCCGGUACUGACGCUGAGGUGCGAAAGCGUGGGGAGCAAACAGG
rnacentral:rRNA from 1 species